AUUAAAACUUCAGGCUUGUAUCAACAUAUUUUAGUAUAUUUUCUAAAUAAAGAAGUAAAUGCUGACCUCCUGCGUCCACCAACGUUGGGAGAUCAAGACGUCCAAUCCCCAGCCGUGGCGCUGCCCAUUGGAGUCUUGUACUGCAGCACUUGAGGCUACAAGCCCUAGGAUCUCCAGCUCAAGAAGAAAGUAGAUGAGUUUCCCAGCACCUGGACAUCUGUGGUGAAUUGCCUCUCCAGGUCACUGGGUUGUUUGAAGUGAUGAUAGCUGGGAAGUUGGAUCACUGCAAGAAGAGAGGUGAUGGCUACGUUCCUGAUGCAGGUGGCUCCAUUGAGGCCACCUUGGCCACGGCUGGAGAGCCCUGAAGGCCGGGUCCAGGGACCUUGACCCCACUCCUCUCCUUCCUUCAAGACAGGAAGAACUGAAAGAUCUCCCAAGAUUCCUGGUCUUUCCUUCAUGUUCUCGUGGCCACCAGGUGGGGACAGAGAUCAACGCCCCUGGUCCUUGGCUCUGGAGGUCUUCAUUCCAAAGGAAAGAAUACUUCCACCGAGAAACAGCACUGCUACCUGGCUGGCUGCCUUGGGCCUCUUAUGCCUCUUGGUAAAUAGGCAAGAAGGGAGUUAGUGUGCUGGUGGAGCAAUUGAUCCUGAACCAAGGAUAAUUGGACUACUACUCCAUAAUGAAGCCAUCUCUCCAAUCUAAUCGUGAGAAACAUCAGACAAAUCCUAUGAAUAUUUCACAAAUAGUCCUCAAAAUUAUCAAGCUCAUCAAAACCAAGAGAAAUCUGAGAAACUAUUACAGCUAAGAAGAACCUAAGGAGACAAACCAACCACAUGUAAUGGGGAAUCCUGGAUGGGGUCUGGAGCAGAGAAAGAUGUUCGACAGAACUGAGGAAAGGGGUCGGCUUUGUUUCUUUUUUCCGAGGCUGAUGAGGCUCCCAGACUGCCAGCGAUCUAGUCCACAAUCAUCCCUUUUUGGAGGUAUAGGAUGGCCUGGUCAGGCCACAGGCCAGAUGGGUCGGAGUUAUGCCAAUGGAGAAGGGCAGGGAGUCGUCAAGGAUGAAGAUGCCACCAAAAAUGUCCGUUCUCCGCCUCAUAUGAGAUAUUUGAAUUGAAUCAAGUCAAGCGGGUUGGGGAUCUCAGGAAAUGUUGGGGGACGGGAGAGAUCCCGGCACUGAGACUGCCAGGCAAAUGCUUGGGAGACACCGCACAGUGGCUGAGGCGGUGGUCCAGGAUAGCACACAGAAGACAGGCUUCAGGUUGCGCCCAUUUCCGGGCAGACUGAGGCGCAGAGACCCAUCAUCCUGUGGGUCGCAGGCCAGGAGUGGGCGGAGAAAGGGCCUGAACUCCUUAGCCUUGAUAGUUUAGGCCAGAUACUCAGAGGCCAAGGUCUGUGCCUCACACCUGCCCUCCCAUGUACAAGGAGCAAGCAGCCACAGCCUACUUUCCUGUGAAGCCAGGAGCGGGCAUUCAUCUCUAAAGGCCCUUUUUUCUUGUCUUUCUUCCUGUUUGUUUCUUCCAAUUUGUAUCCCUCUGGCUGCAAACCAAGAGAGGCGCCCAAAUAUAAAAGUCAAGUCAAAUUAAAAGCGUAUUAUUGCUUGUGCGCUCCCAACGCCCCCCCACCUCUUUUAAAUUGUGUUUCAAAACAACAUGGUGACUUUUGGACAAGAUUUUUCUAUUUCGCCCACACCACAAUAGAGAUGCAAUGAAUGCGGCUGGUGAAAUGUUUGGCUGUGUCAAAUUCAGUCCCGAAGGCUGGCUUG